AACGAACGCUGGCGGCGUGCUUAACACAUGCAAGUCGAACGGGUUUAUUGGAUGUAGCAAUACAUUCAAUAGAUUAGUGGCGCACGGGUGAGUAACACGUAGGUAAUCUGCCUUUAGGUCUGACACAACUCGUCGAAAGACGGGCUAAUAUCAGAUAAUGCAGCGAUCCGGCAUCGGGUUGUUGUCAAAGCUUCGGCGCCCAAAGAUGAGCCUGCGGUCCAUUAGGUAGUUGGCGGAGUAACGGCCCACCAAGCCAACGAUGGAUAGCUGGUCUGAGAGGAUGAUCAGCCACACUGGAACUGAGACACGGUCCAGACUCCUACGGGAGGCAGCAGUAAGGAAUAUUGCUCAAUGGCCGAAAGGCUGAAGCAGCAACGCCGCGUGAAGGAUGAAGGGUCUUUGGCUUGUAAA
rnacentral:rRNA from 1 species